CUCAGGAUGAACGCUGGCGGCGUGCUUAACACAUGCAAGUCGAACGGAGUUUUAACGGAAGUUUCGGAUGGAAGUUAAAACUUAGUGGCGGACGGGUGAGUAACGCGUGGGUAACCUGCCUCAUACAGGGGGAUAACAGUUAGAAAUGACUGCUAACACCGCAUAACAUAGCGAAACCGCAUGAUUUUGCUAUCAAAUAUUUAUAGGUAUGAGAUGGGCCCGCGUCUGAUUAGCUAGUUGGUGGGGUAAAAGCCUACCAAGGCGACGAUCAGUAGCCGGCUUGAGAGAGUGACCGGCCACAUUGGGACUGAGACACGGCCCAAACUCCUACGGGAGGCAGCAGUGGGGAAUAUUGGACAAUGGGGGAAACCCUGAUCCAGCGAACCGCCGCGUGAGUGAAGAAGUAUUUCGGUAUGUAAAGCUCUAUCAGCAGGGAAGAUAAUGACAGUACCUGACUAAGAAGCCCCGGCUAACUACGUGCCAGCAGCCGC
rnacentral:rRNA from 1 species